AUACUUACCUGACAUGGAGAUACCAUGAUCACAAAGAUGGUUUUCCCAGGACAAAUCCUAUCCAUUGCACUAUGGAUGUGCUGAACUGUGUGAUUUCCCCAAAUGUGAAAAACUCUGUUGUGUAAUAUGUGAUAACAGGGGAUCUGCAUUUGCCUUCUCCCA
ensembl:snRNA U1 U1 spliceosomal RNA